GCUGGACGGGACCCUGGAAGGGCCGCUGCCGCUGGCGCUGGCCGCGAAGGCGAAGUUCGAGAUCCUGUGGUUCAGCU
rnacentral:tRNA from 1 species